AUUGAACGCUGGCGGCAUGCCUUACACAUGCAAGUCGAACGGCAGCACGGGAGCAAUCCUGGUGGCGAGUGGCGAACGGGUGAGUAAAGUAUCGGAACGUGCCCAGUCGUGGGGGAUAACGUAGCGAAAGUUACGCUAAUACCGCAUACGAUCUAUGGAUGAAAGCGGGGGAUCGCAAGACCUCGCGCGAUUGGAGCGGCCGAUAUCAGAUUAGGUAGUUGGUGGGGUAAAGGCUCACCAAGCCGACGAUCUGUAGCUGGUCUGAGAGGACGACCAGCCACACUGGGACUGAGACACGGCCCAGACUCCUACGGGAGGCAGCAGUGGGGAAUUUUGGACAAUGGGCGCAAGCCUGAUCCAGCCAUGCCGCGUGCAGGAUGAAGGCCUUCGGGUUGUAAACUGCUUUUGUACGGAACGAAAAGGUUUGGGCUAAUAAGCUGAGCUCAUGACGGUACCGUAAGAAUAAGCACCGGCUAACUACGUGCCAGCCGCCGCAGUAA
rnacentral:rRNA from 1 species